AUUUCUCUUUCACCGAUUUCGACGAUCUCUGGAUAUGUUAUAAAAUUCAAUAAUUCGAACGACUGUGAACUCUUUGUGACAAAAAGACAGAUCUUCUUUAAUUUUGGAGAUAAUAGCAAAAAACAUGUUCGCUACCACUACAGUAAUGCUUGCUUAAAUUCCACAGAAAUCUGUUCGGCUUAAUUUCACUGCACCAUCCCUACUCUUCCCCCAUCACACUGUCUCGUUCUAAGUCUGACGUGAUCCCAGACAGGGACGAAAAAUGAAUAUAAUGAGGGGUAGCAGAUGUCAAGUAUAAACAUACAAUGAAGAAAUUUCAAUUGUAAUAAUUUUAACCGUACCUUCUCAAUCGUAGUACCGACGGACUGUUGAGAAUCCAUUGAUUAAAACGAGUCCAAAGACGACGUAAAUCGGCCUAGUUUUAUUGAUUUGAGGCUGUGCCCGAUUCAGUUCUCAGGAGAGAAUAACGUACUCGUGUUCUUUCUGCUCGGUUAAAUUCCACUGCAAAGACCCGAAAUUGUGGAAUUGAAGCGAGCAUUACUGUACAUUGAAUUAUAUAUAAGUAUUAGGGGUACCUAUAAGUAAUGUCGUAUGCCCUGACGUUUGGCGUUGAAACAAUGUUGUAAACUUCGUGUGAAUCGAGUUGAUGAUGUGCUUAAGUGACCUCAAACACUGUGUUUAUAUGCUGCUUCAGUUUACUGGGAGAUUCAAUAUUAUUUAAAAAGAAUGAGUCCAGAUAAAGUGAUAACGGAGCAUAUCCGACAUUUUCUAGGUGUCUGGAAUUGUCAACGAUGGUUCACAAAAUUUCGGAGCAAGGACUUUCGUCUGGAAAAUGAUGAGAGAUCAGGAAAAUUGUCUCUUCUUAAAGACGACGAAUUAGGGUCGGUAGUUGAAAAAGAUCCGAGUUUAAAAAUUGGAGAGAUUGCAGAAAUGCUUGGUGUAUUGUAGUCUACUAGACACACGCUUUUAUAUGAUAUAAAAAAAUAUACAGCAUUCUAUUUAAAAAAAUGAACGUCACCUUCAUAUCUAACAAAAUAGUAUAAAGACAGAAAGAUUACAUACACCAUUGUCUUGCGUAUAAAAAACAGUACUAUUUUUUCUCUUUUAUUUUUUUCUAAUAUUUACUAUUUAUUACUGUAUAUAUAUUUACUGUAUAUGUAGAGUAUGAAUCUUACGAUUGGAUAACGCCGGUAUAUUUGGGGGUAGUGUGACUGCAGUCAGGAUGAUCUGGAAUGGAUGAAGAGGUGCGAAGAAAGAAUGUUUAGAACUGAACAAUUGGGCCGCGAGAAUGAAACGUGUUUGCGUGAGGUUUAGCUAUGGAUGCAAAGGACAGGGUGCAAGUGAGAAGGCAUGCAUGUAAAAGAAGGAAAGAUUAAUUCGAGAUGACUGAUAAAAGUACAUGCGAGUUCAGCGAAAAGUUAGUCUAAGGCACUUAGUAUAAGAGAAUCUGAGGGUAGUCUGGUGGUAGUCUGAAGAAAGGUUGGAAGAGAGUGUUAGAGUCUGUUGCGAGCGAUCUGCUGAACUACAUUCUUGUUAUUAAUCAUUUAGUUUAAUAAAAUAUUUUCUAUAUUUUGUUAAACAUGUGAGUUCGUGUAAUCCUCCACAUAGUCACAUCCUACAUAUAUAUUUCUUCGUAAGAAUCUAAAUUGGGAUGAUUCGAGUUUUAUAGAAAUUCAAUGUAAAAGCUAUUAAAAAAUGAAAAUAAACAGUUAUUCUAAUAAAAAUACAAUCGCGUAACUGAGUCAUUCUCACCUGACAUAUAUCUCGACAUGGAGGACAAAUUAAAGCACCUUU